AGGAAGGAAGCGGAAUGGCGGAGACUCGGAAUUUGUGUCAGCCAGAACCGGGAGGAAAUAAAAGAGUAAUAAAGUGUAGUGUAACCUGCUUUGCCGCUGAGUGCUGUCGAGUGAAGUGAAGGCGAAUGUAACGAGUGACAGUCCAGCUGCAGUCCCUGUAAACAUCCUACACUCAGCUGUAGUGUGGAUGAAACGCUGAGAGGAGGGUGUUUGCUUUGACUGGUUGGAAAACCACCGUGAGGAAGCAAAGUGAAAGUGACGUGACAUACGGCAAAGUAUGGUGACCCAUACUCAGAAUUCGUUCUCUGCAUUUGACCCAUCCAAAGUGCACACACAGCAGUGAACACACACACCCGGAGCAGUGGGCAAUGGAUAGCAAUGCGUAGAAUUGUAUAAACCUCGUAAUCGGUAUGAUGAACCUUUUGUAUGACUGAUAAUCUGAAUAAAAGUUUCUUUGUUGUUGUGUGUCAGUUGGCUGCUGAGUUUGUUGUCAAGACUGUAGAAAGACAAAAGCUAUAUUAGUUCAACAUAUGUUUUCCGUAAGGUGCAAGUAGUUUGAAAACAAAACUAAAGAAAGCAAAACCCCAGACACAAGCACUAAAUAAAGUCUUUCAAACUGUUA